rnacentral:rRNA from 1 species
UACAGAGGUCUCAAGCGUUGUUCGGAUUCAUUGGGCGUAAAGGGUGCGUAGGCGGCGCGGUAAGUCGGGUGUGAAAUCUUGGAGCUUAACUCCGAAACUGCAUUCGAUACUGGCGUGCUUGAGGACUGGAGAGGAGACUGGAAUUCAUGGUGUAGCAGUGAAAUGCGUAGAGAUCAUGAGGAAGACCAGUGGCGAAGGCGGGUCUCUGGACAGUUCCUGACACUGAGACACGAAGGCCGGGGGAGCAAACGGG